rnacentral:rRNA from 1 species
UACGUAGGGGGCAAGCGUUGUCCGGAAUCAUUGGGCGUAAAGCGCGCGUAGGCGGCCCGGUAAGUCCGCUGUAAAAGUCCAGGGCUCAACCCUGGAAAGCCGGUGGAUACUGUCGGGCUAGAGUACGGAAGAGGCAAGUGGAAUUCCUGGUGUAGCGGUGAAAUGCGUAGAUAUCAGGAAGAACACCAGUGGCGAAGGCGCUCUACUGGGCCGUAACUGACACUGAGGGACGAAAGCUAGGGGAGCGAAAGGG